GGAUAGCUUAACUUGGUAGAGCCUUUGGCGCGUAACCGAACGAUCCGGGUUCGAGUCCCGGUCGCCA
rnacentral:tRNA from 1 species